rnacentral:rRNA from 1 species
AACGAACGUUAGCGGCGCGCUUAACACAUGCAAGUCGCACGAGAAAAGGCUUCGGCCCCGGUACAGUGGCGCACGGGUGAGUAACACGUGGUUAAUCUUCCCUCGGGCGGGGGAUAACAUUCCGAAAGGAGUGCUAAUACCGCAUAAGACUACCGCUUCGAAAGGAGCUGCGGUCAACGCCGGCCUCUAUUCAUAAGCUGGCACCUGAGGAUGAGCCCGCGGCCCAUCAGCUAGUUGGUAGGGUAAUGGCCUACCAAGGCAAAGACGGGUAGCUGGUCUGAGAGGAUGAUCAGCCACACUGGAACUGAGACACGGUCCAGACUCCUACGGGAGGCAGCAGUGGGGAAUCUUGCGCAAUGGGCGAAAGCCUGACGCAGCGACGCCGCGUGAGUGAUGAAGGCCUUCGGGUUGUAAAGCUCUGUGGGGAGAGACGAAUAAGUCGGAGCUAAUACCUCCGGCGAUGACGGUAUCUCCUUAGCAAGCACCGGCUAACUCUGUGCCAGCCGCCGCCGUAACAC